CUAAGUUCAGCGGGUAGUCCUACCUGAUUUGAGAUCAAACAUUCAAAGAGCUGUCCUCACUGAAGAAAGACUUUUGUGAGCCCCAGUGAACCCCCAUUACUGAAGGUUGCCUGGUGGAAAACCUCAAGCGUAGAUUGUUAUCACACCUGUGGCGCCACCAAACACUGGAAAGCUGAUUCAUUUGAGAGGAGCUGACCAAA
rnacentral:misc_RNA from 1 species